UGGAUGUGGAAGGAGUUAUCU
rnacentral:miRNA from 1 species